rnacentral:rRNA from 1 species
UUUGUCCUACGGGGGGCAGCAGUGGGGAAUAUUGCACAAUGGGGGAAACCCUGAUGCAGCGACGCCGCGUGAGUGAGGAAGUAUUUCGGUAUGUAAAGCUCUAUCAGCAGGGAAGAAAAUGACGGUACCUGACUAAGAAGCCCCGGCUAACUACGUGCCAGCAGCCGCGGUAAUACGUAGGGGGCAAGCGUUAUCCGGAUUUACUGGGUGUAAAGGGAGCGCAGGCGGUGCGGCAAGUCUGAUGUGAAAGCCCGGGGCUCAACCCCGGGACUGCAUUGGA